CUCACUGACUACACCCUCUAUAUCCUCACUGAGCAGCUACGACGGUUGAAAGGCUCCGACGCCUCCUGGAAGAACGACCAGGAACCACCACCAGAGGCGUUAGACUUCAGUGAUGAUGAGGCAGGAACAGAAGAUGAAAAGGAAGAAGAAG